rnacentral:rRNA from 1 species
UACGUAGGGGGCAAGCGUUUGUUCGGAAUUACUGGGCGUAAAGCGUGCGUAGGUGGUCUUUUAAGUCCGUUGUGAAAGCCCUGGGCUCAACCUGGGAAUGGCAGUGGAUACUGGAAGGCUGGAGUCCGGAAGAGGCAAGUGGAAUUCCCGGUGUAGCGGUGAAAUGCGCAGAUAUCAGGAGGAACACCGGUGGCGAAGGCGGUGGUCUGGGCCGGAACUGACGCUGAGGAGCGAAAGCGUGGGGAGCGAACAGG